rnacentral:rRNA from 1 species
GACGAACGCUGGCGGCGUGCUUAACACAUGCAAGUCGAACGGAAAGGCCCUGCUUUUGUGGGGUGCUCGAGUGGCGAACGGGUGAGUAACACGUGAGUAACCUGCCCUUGACUUUGGGAUAACUUCAGGAAACUGGGGCUACUACCGGAUAGGAGCUCCUGCUGCAUGGAGGGGGUUGGAAAGUUUCGGCGGUCGGGGAUGGACUCGCGGCUUAUCAGCUUGUUGGUGGGGUAGUGGCUUACCAAGGCUUUGACGGGUAGCCGGCCUGGGAGGGUGACCGGCGACAUUGGGACUGAGAUACGGCCCAGACUCCUACGGGAGGCAGCAGUGGGGAAUAUUGCACAAUGGGCGGAAGCCUGAUGCAGCAACGCCGCGUGCGGGAUGACGGCCUGCGGGUUGUAAACCGCUUUCGCCUGUGACGAAGCGUGAGUGACGGUAAUGGGUAAAGAAGCACCGGCUAACUACGUG